GACUCUUUAGCUAAGCGGUUAUAGCGUGGGAUUGCAGAUCCCAAGGUCCUUGGUUCGAGUCCGAGAAGGGUCU